CAUUUUUAAACUAUUCAAAUGAUGAAAGUUGUUGUUUUUAAGCGUUUAUUAGCAAGUGGGAACGACCAACAUGGCCGCCAUCUAUUCAAAUGGGGAUAACCGCUGAAAUAUUCUUGGCUUCAAUUUUACUAAAAUAGAUGCGCUAUCUAGUGUAUAUAAGAUAUCUAUGCCUAUUACCUACUGAACAAAAUUUUGUUCUAGACAAGUCUGGACAAAAAUUUCAUCACUGAUGAGCUUGAAAGAGCAUCACAAAAUUACUAAUACUCCGAAGUUUCGUUGCGAAAUGUUGUAAAAUGCGGAUAAUAUAGCCCUGCGAGGUUUACCGUUUUUCAGUCAUUUUGUAUUACGCACGGG